rnacentral:rRNA from 1 species
GACGAACGCUGGCGGCGUGCCUAAUACAUGCAAGUCGAGCGGACUUUCAUUGGUGCUUGCACCUUUGAAAGUUAGCGGCGGACGGGUGAGUAACACGUGGGUAACCUACCCUGUAGAUUGGGAUAACUCCGGGAAACCGGGGCUAAUACCGAAUAACACUUUUGAACUCAUGUUCGAAAGUUAAAAGAUGGUUUCGUCUAUCACUACAGGAUGGGCCCGCGGCGCAUUAUCUAGUUGGUGAGGUAACGGCUCACCGAGGCAACGAUGCGUAGCCGACCUGAGAGGGUGAUCGGCCACACUGGGACUGAGACACGGACCAGACUCCUACGGGAGGCAGCAGUAGGGAAUCUUCCACAAUGGACGAAAGUCUGAUGGAGCAACGCCGCGUGAGUGAAGAAGGAUUUCGGUUCGUAAAACUCUGUUGCAAGGGAAGAACAAGUAGCGUAGUAACUGGCGCUACCUUGACGGUACCUUGUUAGAAAGCCACGGCUAACUACGUGCCAGCCGCCGCCGUAA